rnacentral:rRNA from 1 species
GACGAACGCUGGCGGCGUGCCUAACACAUGCAAGUCGAACGGUAACAGGUCUUCGGAUGCUGACGAGUGGCGAACGGGUGAGUAAUACAUCGGAACGUGCCUAGUAGUGGGGGAUAACUACUCGAAAGAGUGGCUAAUACCGCAUGAGAUCUACGGAUGAAAGCAGGGGAUCGCAAGACCUUGUGCUACUAGAGCGGCCGAUGGCAGAUUAGGUAGUUGGUGGGAUAAAAGCUUACCAAGCCGACGAUCUGUAGCUGGUCUGAGAGGACGAUCAGCCACACUGGGACUGAGACACGGCCCAGACUCCUACGGGAGGCAGCAGUGGGGAAUUUUGGACAAUGGGCGCAAGCCUGAUCCAGCAAUGCCGCGUGCAGGAUGAAGGCCUUCGGGUUGUAAACUGCUUUUGUACGGAACGAAAAGCCCUGGGUUAAUACCCUGGGGUCAUGACGGUACCGUAAGAAUAAGCACCGGCUAACUACGUGCCAGCCGCCGCAGUAA